rnacentral:rRNA from 1 species
UACGUAGGGAGCAAGCGUUGUCCGGAAUCAUUGGGCGUAAAGCGCGCGUAGGCGGCUCGAUCAGUCUGUUGUGAAAGUCAAAGGCUCAACCUUUGAAUGCCGAUGGAUACUGUCGAGCUAGAGUCCGGAAGAGGCGGGUGGAAUUCCUGGUGUAGCGGCGAAAUGCGCAGAUAUCAGGAGGAACACCGGCGGCGAAGGCGGCACUCUGGGCCGGUACUGACGCUGAGGAGCGAAAGCGUGGGUAGCAAACAGG